AGCGGCGGACGGGUGAGUAACGCGUGGGUAACCUGCCUCAUACAGGGGGAUAACAGUUAGAAAUGACUGCUAAUACCGCAUAAGACCACAGCACCGCAUGGUGCGGGGGUAAAAACUCCGGUGGUAUGAGAUGGACCCGCGUCUGAUUAGGUAGUUGGUGGGGUAACGGCCUACCAAGCCGACGAUCAGUAGCCGACCUGAGAGGGUGACCGGCCACAUUGGGACUGAGACACGGCCCAA
rnacentral:rRNA from 1 species